rnacentral:rRNA from 1 species
GGAAUUUUCCGCAAUGGGCGAAAGCCUGACGGAGCAAUACCGCGUGAGGGAUGACGGCCUGUGGGUUGUAAACCUCUUUUCUCAAGGAAGAAGUUCCGACGGUACUUGAGGAAUAAGCAUCGGCUAACUCUGUGCCAGCAGCCGCGGUAAUACAGAGGAUGCAAGCGUUAUCCGGAAUCACUGGGCAUAAAGCGUCUGUAGGUUGUUUAGUAAGUCUGCUGUUAAAGACUGGGGCUUAACCCCAGAAAAGCAGUGGAAACUGCUAGACUUGAGUGUGGUAGAGGUAGAGGGAAUUCCUAGUGUAGCGGUGAAAUGCGUAGAUAUUAGGAAGAACACCAAUGGCGAAGGCACUCUACUGGGCCAUAACUGACACUGAGAGACGACAGCUAGGGGAGCAAACGGGAUUAGAUACCCCGGUAGUCCUAGCCGUAAACGAUGGAUACUAGAUGUUGCGCGUAUUAACCCGUGCAGUAUCGUAGCUAAGGCGUUAAGUAUCCCGCCUGGGAAGUACGCUCGCAAGAGUGAAACUCAAAGGAAUUGACGG